AUUGAACGCUGGCGGCAGGCCUAACACAUGCAAGUCGAGCGGAUGAAGGGAGCUUGCUCCUGGAUUCAGCGGCGGACGGGUGAGUAAUGCCUAGGAAUCUGCCUGGUAGUGGGGGAUACCGUCCGGAAACGGGCGCUAAUACCGCAUCCGUCCUGAGGGAGAAAGUGGGGGAUCUUCGGCCCUCACGCUACCAGAUGAGCCUAGGUCGGAUUAGCUAGUUGGUGGGGUAAAGGCCUACCAAGGCGACGAUCCGUAACUGGUCUGAGAGGAUGAUCAGUCACACUGGAACUGAGACACGGUCCAGACUCCUACGGGAGGCAGCAGUGGGGAAUAUUGGACAAUGGGCGAAAGCCUGAUCCAGCCAUGCCGCGUGUGUGAAGAAGGUCUUCGGAUUGUAAAGCACUUUAAGUUGGGAGGAAGGGCAGUAAGUUAAUACCUUGCUGUUUUGACGUUACCAACAGAAUAAGCACCGGCUAACUUCGUG
rnacentral:rRNA from 1 species